rnacentral:rRNA from 1 species
GUGCCAGCAGCCGCGGUAAUACGUAGGGUGCAAGCGUUAAUCGGAAUUACUGGGCGUAAAGCGUGCGCAGGCGGUUCUAUAAGACAGGCGUGAAAUCCCCGGGCUCAACCUGGGAAUUGCGUUUGUGACUGUAGAGCUAGAGUACGGCAGAGGGGGAUGGAAUUCCGCGUGUAGCAGUGAAAUGCGUAGAUAUGCGGAGGAACACCGAUGGCGAAGGCAAUCCCCUGGGCCUGUACUGACGCUCAUGCACGAAAGCGUGGGGAGCAAACAGGAUUAGAAAACCUGGUAGUCCACGCCCUAA